GCAAACUUGGUCAUUUAGAGGAAGUAAAAGUCGUAACAAGGUUUCCGUAGGUGAACCUGCGGAAGGAUCAUUAUCGAAUCUUCAAACGUGGGCUGUUGCUGGCUCCUGAAUGGGGCACGUGCACGCUCUGUUUAUACAUCCACUCACACCUGUGCACCCUCUGCAGUUUUGUGGUUUGGGAGACCCUGUCUUCCUUCCAUGGCUCUGCGUCUUUACACACACGCCAUAGUGAUGUCUCAUGGAAUGUUUUUCUGCGUUUAACGCGAUACAAUACAACUUUCAGCAACGGAUCUCUUGGCUCUCGCAUCGAUGAAGAACGCAGC
rnacentral:misc_RNA from 1 species